GAAGCUGACCAGACAGUCGCCGCUUCGUCGUCGUGCUCCUUCGGGGGGAGACGGGCGGAGGGGAGGAAAGUCCGGGCUCCAUAGGGCAAGGUGCCAGGUAACGCCUGGGGGGUGUCACAGCCCACGACCAGUGCAACAGAGAGCAAACCGCCGAUGGCCCGCGCAAGCGGGAUCAGGUAAGGGUGAAAGGGUGCGGUAAGAGCGCACCGCGCGGCUGGUAACAGUCCGUGGCACGGUAAACUCCACCCGGAGCAAGGCCAAAUAGGGGUUCAUAAGGUACGGCCCGUACUGAACCCGGGUAGGCUGCUUGAGCCAGUGAGCGAUUGCUGGCCUAGAUGAAUGACUGUCCACGACAGAACCCGGCUUAUCGGUCAGUUUCACUC
rnacentral:RNase_P_RNA from 1 species